UACGUAGGGGGCAAGCGUUGUCCGGAUUUAUUGGGCGUAAAGAGCUCGUAGGCGGCUUGGUAAGUCGGAAGUCAAAACAAGAGGCUCAACCUCUUGUCGCUUUUGAUACUGCCAUGGCUUGAGUUUGGUAGGGGAUGAGGGAAUUCCUGGUGUAGCGGUGAAAUGCGCAGAUAUCAGGAGGAACACCGGUGGCGAAGGCGCUCAUCUGGGCCAAGUACUGACGCUGAGGAGCGAAAGCGUGGGGAGCGAACAGG
rnacentral:rRNA from 1 species